GGAACAUGAAUGUGAAACAUUUUAAACGACGGCUUCAGUGAUAUGUGUAGUAAGUUGGUGAUGGAAUGUAUCAG
rnacentral:lncRNA from 1 species